UUGACGGGGCCCGCACAAGCGGUGGAGCAUGUGGUUUAAUUCGAUGCAACGCGAAGAACCUUACCUGGGCUUGACAUCCACGGGAACCUGCUGGAAACAGUGGGGUGCCUUUCGGGAGCCGUGAGACAGGUGCUGCAUGGCUGUCGUCAGCUCGUGUCGUGAGAUGUUGGGUUAAGUCCCGCAACGAGCGCAACCCUUGUCUUUAAUUGCCAUCAUUCAGUUGGGCACUUUAAAGAGACUGUCGGUGUUAAACCGGAGGAAGGUGGGGAUGACGUCAAGUCCUCAUGGCCUUUAUGCCCAGGGCUACACACGUGCUACAAUGGGUGGUACAAAGGGUCGCCAAGCCGCGAGGUGGAGCUAAUCCCGAAAAACCUCUCGUAGUCCGGAUUGGAGUCUGCAACUCGACUCCAUGAAGUCGGAAUCGCUAGUAAUCGUGGAUCAGAACGCCACGGUGAAUACGUUCCCGGGCCUU
rnacentral:rRNA from 1 species